rnacentral:misc_RNA from 1 species
UAAAACGUUUAUUUGAAACCGUGUUUGCAGUAUUUGAAGUAAAAGGCAGUUAAAGCAGCUAAAAGCUAUAUCUUGCGAAUACUUAUCUACCUGUGUUUUUAUAUUUACCUAAUUAUGUUUUUAUAACGAUAUUAGGACAAUUUAAAUUGUAAACAAAGUUGGUAGUUGAACAAACGUUGGGGAUCUCCACAAACAUUUUCAAAAGAAAGACCCGGACAUUUUUUUAUCUCUGACAGAUAUAAAUAAAUAUAGCGACUCAGAAAAAUCAGUACAUUAAAUACCGUUCGCCAACCGAAUAAUUAUCAUUGUCUGUCGAAGAGUUAGUUAUCAUUUUGUUUAUCGAAGAAUCAUCAUUUUGUCAACCGAAGAAUUUUAUAUCCGUCAGUCUGUCAGUCAAUUGUCAAUAUCGAAAUCGAGUGCACGAGGCGGGUACGGGUUCUCAAGGCGUAGGACCACGCCCUAGCAAACCCGAUGAAUUUGCUAUUC